GACGAACGCUGGCGGCGUGCCUAAUACAUGCAAGUCGAGCGAAUCACUGGGAGCUUGCUCCUGGUGGUUAGCGGCGGACGGGUGAGUAACACGUGGGCAACCUGCCUGUAAGACUGGGAUAACACCGGGAAACCGGUGCUAAUACCGGAUAAUCCUUUCCCUCUCAUGAGGGAAAGCUGAAAGUCGGUUUCGGCUGACACUUACAGAUGGGCCCGCGGCGCAUUAGCUAGUUGGUGAGGUAACGGCUCACCAAGGCGACGAUGCGUAGCCGGCCUGAGAGGGUGAUCGGCCACACUGGAACUGAGACACGGCCCAGACUCCUACGGGAGGCAGCAGUAGGGAAUAUUCCACAAUGGCCGAAAGUCUGAUGGAGCAACGCCGCGUGAGCGAUGAAGGCCUUCGGGUCGUAAAGCUCUGUUGUUAGGGAGGAACAAGUACCGGAGUAACCGCCGGUACCUUGACGGUACCUAACCAGAAAGCCACGGCUAACUACGUGCCAGCAGCCGCAGUAACAC
rnacentral:rRNA from 1 species